rnacentral:rRNA from 1 species
AGUCGAGCGGACGGAUGGGAGCUUGCUCCCUGAAGUCAGCGGCGGACGGGUGAGUAACACGUGGGCAACCUGCCUGUAAGACUGGGAUAACUUCGGGAAACCGGAGCUAAUACCGGAUAAUGCACAGCCUCUCAUGAGGCUAUGCUGAAAGAUGGUUUCGGCUAUCACUUACAGAUGGGCCCGCGGCGCAUUAGCUAGUUGGUGAGGUAACGGCUCACCAAGGCAACGAUGCGUAGCCGACCUGAGAGGGUGAUCGGCCACACUGGGACUGAGACACGGCCCAGACUCCUACGGGAGGCAGCAGUAGGGAAUCUUCCGCAAUGGACGAAAGUCUGACGGAGCAACGCCGCGUGAGUGAUGAAGGUUUUCGGAUCGUAAAACUCUGUUGUCAGGGAAGAACAAGUGCCGGAGUAACUGCCGGCACCUUGACGGUACCUGACCAGAAAGCCACGGCUAACUACGUGCCAGCAGCCGCGGUAAUACGUAGGUGGCAAGCGUUGUCCGGAAUUAUUGGGCGUAAAGCGCGCGCAGGCGGUCUCUUAAGUCUGAUGUGAAAGCCCACGGCUCAACCGUGGAGGGUCAUUGGAAACUGGGGGAC